rnacentral:lncRNA from 1 species
UUUUCCCCUUCUAUUUGCCCUGAAGUAAUGGAGCCAGUAGUGGCCACAGGAGUGGAAAAGGCUGAUACCUACCAGGAGGGCACACAAGGAGGACACAGGAGGCUUCAGGCUGCCAACACCCCAUCAUAGGAGAAGGAAAUUUCUUUAGGUCAGCUACAGCAAGAGUCCUCUGCCUGGGCUGACCCGUGGACAGAAGGAAACUACUUUCUAGAGUAGGCAUAACAAUUCUUAUCAUUCCAGGCCACUAAAUGGGAAAUUACAGGAACAGAAUUAGUGUAGAUGUCCUUGGUAGUCUAGAUCAGCUUUA